UACGAAGGGGGCUAGCGUUGCUCGGAAUCACUGGGCGUAAAGCGCACGUAGGCGGAUCUUUAAGUCAGGGGUGAAAUCCUGGAGCUCAACUCCAGAACUGCCUUUGAUACUGGAGAGCUUGAGUCCGGAAGAGGUGAGUGGAACUCCGAGUGUAGAGGUGAAAUUCGUAGAUAUUCGGAAGAACACCAGUGGCGAAGGCGGCUCACUGGUCCGGUACUGACGCUGAUGUGCGAAAGCGUGGGUAGCAAACAGG
rnacentral:rRNA from 1 species